rnacentral:lncRNA from 1 species
AUGCAAGGUAAAAUAGUAAUUAGCAUGCUUGAUAUUUCAGCAAACCACACCUUUCCAUUCCAGAUUGUUCUAGAUCUUUUUCCUCUACUUCCAGAUUAUUAUUAUUAACAAUUGCUAAGGCCUUAGAGCCAAAAUGAUGGAUCAUCUCCCUCAAAUCUCUUCUUCUCCUAACGGUUCAAAGCUUAUGGGUUACGAGUUAAAUUAACUAUACUGUUGAAAAUCCCAAUUUGAAAUACACGACAUAUAAGAGGAAGAGAGCUGAUAAAGCAUAAGCCCCAAAUAUUUAUGAAAGUUAUCCAUGUUUGGUGAAGAGCAAUAUGAUACAAUUUUGAUUCUUUAGAUCCUUGAUUUUAGCUUAUUAUAUGCUUAUGUAUUUUCUCUUUUCUGAUAUUGGUGUCCAGGUAUAGUUGCGUAGUUUCGUGGCAGAGGAGAAUUGUGGAUCCUUCCAAUGAAGGCCUCUUUUCUUUAGUCCGAGGAGAAUUGCGGAUCCUUUUCUAAGGUUUACCGUCUCAAUAUUUUAUCACUUUGAAUUUUUUGUCUGUGGCGUUUCUCACUUUUUCAAAGUCUUAUAUUUUUCUUUUGAUGGUGUGUUGUCGUGACUCUAUACUCUAAGGCUAUGUUGUUGUUUUUAUUUGUUUGUUUGUUUAGAAGUUUUAGAUUUUUAAUUUAAGGUUUGAAUGAAAAUUGGAGGAUUUAAGAGUGGAAUUAUACUCUCUCAUUCCACAGAUUGAUUAAGCAAUCAAAAACUCACCAAAUGCACAUAGGAUUGAAAAAUUAUUUUUUGAUACUCAAAUGACUGUUCCAAAAUGUUAUAGAGGGAACUUUGCAUCUAAUAUGUAGAGUACCAACUCGAAUAUGAAAGUCAAAGGGAUCAAAUAUGAAUGAUACUCUGAAUAGCUCUGAAUCAUAUAGUUGUAAUGAGGUAUAUGAUCAAGCUAUAUUUAUCGAAUUUGGAGAUGGAUGUUUGUUGUCCCCCCAUUCUUUAGUCCCAAUUCCCCUAAACAAAGGGCUGACAUAGAACCAAAUUUUUGUGUUGUUGGUUCUCUCCAAAGUAUUACAUUCUUGUAGAUAGCCUUCGGUUAAAUGAAAGAGGCCGGGUUGGCAUUCCAUAACUAUGAAGGGAUUUUUGUUUCUCAAGUAUUGCAAGUUCAUAAUCUGAUUGUACUUUAUCUUGAACUCAUAUAAGAUGUUAUGUCUACAAACUAAUUACUAUUACUCCAUUGCUAACUAUGCCGAUGUUAAUAAAUCCAUUUUGUUCCAAAGAGGGCUAUUCCUCCUUCCAGAUCUCAAUUGUCAGGAAACCAUUCAUUGCAUAAUUGUAUCUGAAUAGUUAUUUAUGCUAUUGUUCCCUUUCCCCCAAUAAAUAGUUGUCAACUUGGCAUGAAGUCUCGUAUCAUUUAAAAAAAAAAAGUAAAGCACCAAGAACCUGAAUCCAUAAACUAAUGAAGGUAAUUUUGAAAUGUAUGGUUUUGAUUGUGUCAUAUCCACGAUCUAACUUAUGUUGCUUGGAUCCUCCAAAAUGUUGUUGCACCUGUGUUAUAUUGUCAAAGUAUUAUUAACUUUAUCAAUUCUUGAGUCUUGACAGUUGUACACGGUGAAUUAUAUAUUGUAACACGUGUCCCUUUUCCUUCAAAGGAAAGGAAGUUACGCUUUUUCUUCCAAUGGCAAGGAAGUGUUUCAUUCCUUUUCAUCUAGGCUGUUGUGAAAAGUGCCAAAAUCUCCAACGGUGAACUCUGAAUGUGAUAUUUGUUUUUCUUAAAGUUGUUUCUCUAAGAUCUGUGUUUCAAUGCAAGUGCUGACGGUUGGGAAUAGUCUAUUUAUGAAAUUUUGUAUGGAAUGAAGCUUAUGGUUUGUAUAUCUGCCAUAGGGUAAAAUUGUUGCCAAGAUGAGCGAAGAGGUAAUUCAUUUGAACCAUACAACAUAAGUGAGGAUCUUCUAAAACUAGAAGGGCAACAAAAGAACAAAUUUGAUGAUGAAGAGCUAGAGCAUCUUGUUGAGUAAAGAAGGUAACACUAUUUACCUUUUUUCUUAUAGGCCAUCAAGGUUGAGUGAAGAGCUGAAAUAUGAUUCCAAGAAAAGAUUACUUGAUUGGGGUAGUAGAAUUUUUAAUUACAGACAAGAAAAGGGGAUUAUGCUACUAUGUUUGAAUGAAGGUAAUGUUCUUCAUGGUGACUAUUUAGUAUGCGGUAGAUACAGAUUUGCAUAUAUGAUUUUUUUCGCUUAUUAAUUUCUAUUCAAAAUAGAAGGAUUUAGCUUUGACACAAUGUAUUCGAUUUUAAUUCUCGGGAGAGAUGUUGAUAUGGAUUACUUAACGGCUAUUUGCAGGUAUUAAAAUAGCGUGGAUAUGAAUUUCAAGUUCAUUUUGGCAGCACUUAAACCAAUGAAAAAAGUACUUAAAUCAAGGUGCUUUUGGUGUGGUGAGUUCUCUUCUUGGAGCUCAAUUCUCUUGGAGAGCUUUUCGUGAACUUUUUUUUGUUAGUGUUUGGUCUCAACAGUUUUGAAAAAGAGACUGUAUCACCUAUCCUUUGUUGCUAGGAGUUUAAUUCUCUCAGAGAGCUUUUGGAUAACUAUUUUUAUUAGUGUUUAGUCAUAGUAUUGGUCCCAUGUGAAAAUUUAAAAAGUUGGUAUGUUUAAUAUUUUGUUUAAGCGAUUUUAUUAAGAGGAGGUAUUGCAAAGAGAGAAAUUGUUACUUAAUAUGUAUUGUUGAAAAUUAUUGAACCUAUAGAGAAAUGAUUUUACACUGCAAUGCAUAUUUGCACUUUUAGUAUUCAUAUCUUUGAAAUUCCAUCAUACUUCUCACUAUGAUUCACAGAAAUGAUCAUGCUUUAUAUCACGGAGCUUCUUUGUUGAUGUACCAUCAUACGUCUAAUUAAGGAAUGAAGAUGUUUCAUGAUUUUCUCAAUGAACUUAAAAUUGGAGUUUUCUACCGACGACUGGAAAUGCAAUGAUCCUCUGAUUAGCACGGGCCAAGUCUAUCUAGUUUGAAUAGAAGAAUGGAAUGUCCACCCAUAUUUCACUAUGAAAUUUGGAAAUUAAUAGCAAUAAAUAUAAAUUAAAAAAAUAGUCUUUACUCGUUCAUAGUUCUAAUUUCCAAAAGCAUUGCUACAGCAUUAGGGUUUUUCCCGCCCACUCCAUAUAAUACAUACUUAGCAGCAAAUCGAUCAGGCAACAAUUUGCCGGCGAUCGGAAUGGCAGAGGAGGUGGAAUUCCGGUUGUACAAUACAAUAACGAAGUAUGGGGAACUUUUUCAGUCG